GAUGGACUCAAGUGCAGUUUUUGUCAUCU
rnacentral:sRNA from 1 species